AGUGAACGCUGGCGGCAGGCCUAAUACAUGCAAGUCGAACGGCAGCACAGUAAGAGCUUGCCCUUACGGGUAGCGAGUGGCGGGUGGGUGAGGAAUACAUCGGCAUCUAAUUUUUCUUGGGGGAUAACGUAGGGAAACUUAUGCUACUACAGCAUACGACCUACGGGUGAAAGCAGGGGAUCUUCGCACUUUUCGCGACAGAUAGAGACGAUGUCGCAUUAGCUAGUUGGCGGGGUAAAGGCACACCAAGGCAACGAUCCGUAGCUGGUCUGAGAGGAUGAUCAGCCACACUGGAACUGAGACACGGUCCAGACUCCUACGGGAGGCAGCAGUGGGGAAUAUUGGACAAUGGGCGCAAGCCUGAUCCAGCCAUGCCGCGUGGGUGAAGAAGGCCUUCGGGUUGUAAAGCCCUUUUAUUGGGAAAGAAAAACAGCAUGUGUAUACCCCGCUGUUCUGACGGUACCCAAACAGUAAGCACCGGCUAACUUCGUG
rnacentral:rRNA from 1 species